rnacentral:rRNA from 1 species
UACGUAGGAUGCAAGCGUUGUCCGGAAUUAUUGGGCGUAAAGAGCGCGCAGGCGGUAUGACAAGUCAGAUGUGAAAGAGGCCGGCUUAACCGGCAAGGGUCAUUUGAAACUGUCAGACUAGAGUGCAGCAGAGGAUAGUGGAAUUCCCGGUGUAGUGGUGAAAUGCGUAGAUAUCGGGAGGAACACCAGUGGCGAAGGCGGCUUUUUGGUCUGUAACUGACGCUGAGGCGCGAAAGCGUGGGGAGCAAACAGG